GCCCGGGUGGCUUAGUGGUUGAGCGUCUGCCUUCGGCCCAGGACGUGAUCCUGAGGAUCUGGGAUCGAGUCCCACAUCGGGCU
rnacentral:tRNA from 1 species